UGGGGAAUAUUGCGCAAUGGGCGAAAGCCUGACGCAGCAACGCCGCGUGGGGGAUGAAGGCCUUCGGGUUGUAAACCCCUUUCAGCAGGGACGAAGCGAAAGUGACGGUACCUGCAGAAGAAGCGCCGGCUAACUACGUGCCAGCAGCCGCGGUAAUACGUAGGGCGCAAGCGUUGUCCGGAAUCAUUGGGCGUAAAGAGCUCGUAGGUGGUCUGUUACGUCUGCUGUGAAAACCUAGGGCUUAACCCUGGGCCUGCAGUGGAUACGGGCAGACUAGAGGUAGGUAGGGGAGAAUGGAAUUCCCGGUGUAGCGGUGAAAUGCGCAGAUAUCGGGAGGAACACCGGUGGCGAAGGCGGUUCUCUGGGCCUUACCUGACACUGAGGAGCGAAAGCGUGGGGAGCGAACAGGAUUAGAUACC
rnacentral:rRNA from 1 species